UUGGCUUAGAAGCAGCCAUCCUUGAAAGAGUGCGUAAUAGCUCACUGGUCAAGUGGUUCUGCGCCGACAAUGUAGCGGGGCUCAAGCGUACCGCCGAAGCUGUGGCAACAACGCGUUUGUGCUGGCGCCAGGAACUGGAGUGCUGGUGUGUUGUUGGGUAGGGGAGCGUCCUGCACGAGGUGAAGCCUGGAGGUGACUUCUGGUGGAUUGUGUGGGAGUGAGAAUGCAGGCAUGAGUAACGAAUCUGCGGUGAGAAUCCGCAGCGCCGAUUGACUAAGGGUUCCAGGGCUAGGUUUAUCCGCCCUGGGUUAGUCGGGUCCUAAGGCGAGGCCGACAGGCGUAGUCGAUGGACAACCAGUUGAUAUUCUGGUACCGCGUUAUGACCGCCCAUGCUGAAGUCAUUGUGCUAACCAAUUUGCUCACGCCACUUGUAAGCCUUCGGGUUUGUGGGUGUGUGUGGGUCUUGGGGCCCCGGUGAUUGUAGGCAAGCGUGUUAACAGGGGUGACGCAGACAGGUAGCUGCAGUGCGCCGAUGGUUGUGCGUAUUUAAGGUUGUGGCCCGUCUUCCAGGCAAAUCCGGAGGACAUGAGGGUGAGAACUGAUGAGGGACACACGCGUGUGUGGACUUGUGGUGAUCCUAUGCUGCCGAGAAAAGCCUCGACGUGAGGGCAUGACGCGCCCGUACCCUAAACCGACUCAGGUGGUCAGGUAGAGUAUACCGAGGCGUUCGAGUGAAUCGUGGUUAAGGAACUCGGCAAAAUUCCUCCGUAACUUCGGGAUAAGGAGGACCCCGUGACUUGCUCCCACCAUGCGUGGGUGUUGGGUUGUGGGGUCGCAGAGAAUAGGGAGAAGCGACUGUUUAUCAAAAACACAGGUGCGUGCGAAGCCGUAAGGCGAUGUAUACGCACUGACGCCUGCCCGGUGCUGGAAGGUUAAGAGGAACCGUCAACAUCCCUUGCGGGUGUGAAGCGGUGAAUUUAAGCCCCAGUAAACGGCGGUGGUAACUAUAACCAUCCUAAGGUAGCGAAAUUCCUUGUCGGGUAAGUUCCGACCUGCACGAAUGGCGUAACGACUUCUCCGCUGUCUCAACCGCGAACUCGGUGAAAUUGCAGUACGAGUAAAGAUGCUCGUUUCGCGCAGAAGGACGGAAAGACCCCGGGACCUUUACUAUAGCUUGGUAUUGGUGUUCGCUUGGACUUGUGUAGGAUAGGUGGGAGACUGUGAAGCUGCCGCGCCAGCGGUGGUGGAGUCGUCGUUGAAAUACCAUUCUGGUUCAAGCGGUCACCUCAACCUUGGCCCGUGAUCCGGGUUGGGGACAGUGCCUGGUGGGUAGUUUAACUGGGGCGGUUGCCUCCUAAAAUGUAACGGAGGCGCUCAAAGGUUCCCUCAGCCUGGUUGGUAAUCAGGUGGCGAGUGCAAGUGUACAAGGGAGCUUGACUGUGAGACCGACGGGUCGAGCAGGUGCGAAAGCAGGAACUAGUGAUCCGGCCAUGGCACGUGGGUGCGUGGUCGCUCAACGGAUAAAAGGUACCCCGGGGAUAACAGGCUGAUCUUGCCCAAGAGUCCAUAUCGACGGCAUGGUUUGGCACCUCGAUGUCGGCUCGUCGCAUCCUGGGGCUGGAGUCGGUCCCAAGGGUUGGGCUGUUCGCCCAUUAAAGCGGUACGCGAGCUGGGUUCAGAACGUCGUGAGACAGUUCGGUCCCUAUCCUCUGUGCGCGCAGGAAAUUUGAGAAGGGCCGUCCCUAGUACGAGAGGACCGGGAUGGACGAACCUCUGGUGUGCCAGUUGUACCGCCAGGUGCAUGGCUGGUUGGCUACGUUCGGAAGGGAUAACCGCUGAAAGCAUCUAAGCGGGAAGCCUGCUUCAAGAUGAGGUUUCCACGCCCCCUCGUGGGGUGAGAGGCCCCCGCCAGACUAGCGGGUUGAUAGGCCAGAGGUGGAAGCAC
rnacentral:rRNA from 1 species